CAUACUCUCCCUCUCACACACACACACUCUCUCUCUCACACACUCUCUCACUCUCUCUCACACACACACACACACUCUCACUCUCUCUUUCUCUCUCACACACACACACACUCUCUCUCUCAGUCUCUCCCCCCUGUCUCUCUCUCUCUCUCAUUCACUCUCUCCCCUGUCUCUCUCUCACACACUCUCUCUCUCAUUCACUCUCUCUCUCACACUCUCUCAGUCUCUCUCCCCCUGUCUCUCUCUCUCUGUCUCUCACUCACUUUCUCUCACACUCUCUCUCCCCCGUCUCUCUCUCUCAGUCUCUC